rnacentral:lncRNA from 1 species
ACACUAUAUAAGGAGAUGCAUAGGAAAACAGCGGUAGGUAGAUAUAAGUCAACAGGCUGUCAAAUUUAUUCUAGUAAUAGUGUAAACAUAAGCACAUUAUUAUAGACGACACUGACAGCCUGAGCACCAGCAUUUUGAUCAGAAAUUUAAGCAAAGCCACCCAAGAAAAGUGUGUUUGUAUUCUCAUCACUGCAAUAAAGGCAAGGGUUCUGCUCAAAUCCAUUGUUCUUCAAAAUCUUGGCAGCCUCAACCAUAAGUUGUCUGUUGCUUAUUCCACCACCCAUGCACUGAUCGAGUACGCUAACCACUGCAUCGGUGAACGCCCCAAAGGCUCUAUUCCCCAAAACCAGGUCAUAUGAUGUCUCAUUGGCUUCACACCCACUUAAUAAUAUCCCUUCAUCCUCCUCCGGUGGAUCCAACACCAUUAACCCAUUUACGUAGUGAGGAUGGAAUUUGAGACUCACAUCUUUCCCGAAGAUUCCGAAAAUCUUUUGGCCAACAUUUGCUGCAUCGUGUAGGAUGCCUGCUGCUGUAUCUAUCGCACUGUGUAUGAUAUCAAAAGUAAGACUCUUAGCCUUAGCCUUAGACGGUUUAGGCUUGUUGGGAUUUACUGGAGUCAUCAUUUGCUGAGCACCAAAUUAUUCUUUCUCUUUUUCAAUGAGACCACCACUGUGGCACGAAUCUGAUAGGAUUGUGAAGCUUGCUCCUUCUGGUAGCCGGUUAACUAAAUGCCUGAAGUCCACAUCUGUAGAAACCAUGUAUAUAUAGGGUAUGAAUAUAUGUUGCUAAAAAAAUAUAUAAAUUCAAAUAAAAACCUACCGGUGACAAGAUUUAAAUCACAAGCCACGAUUGCUUUAUCUUGCUUGAAAGGCUGGCCAGGUUGAAAGAUUGGAAUGCGUGUUCCAUGUCCACUGAAGUAGAAAAAUAGGAUAUCUCCUGCUUUAGCCUUGUUCACCAUUCUAUUAAGUGCAUCCUUAAUGUUUGCACCCAUAGCCAGAACCGGCGACCCUGGUGCAUCGGUGAGAACAUUAACAUCGCUUUCCUUAAACCCAAAGUUCAGGAUCACACCUCUUAUGGCUUUCACAUCAUUGAUGCAUCCAUGCAAGUUGAAUUGGGUCUUGGGGUAGUUGCAUCCCACCAGAACUGCUCUCUUCGUACCCUUACUCAUCUUGCUUCGCUAAUUUGACUAUUUUGUGUUGCUUGUACCAUUGUAUUAAUGUGCUUCCACUAUCUCACUUAGAACCUAUAUAUAUACACACUAAUUUACAGCAUGUGUACUGACCAUAAAGAUGACGACAUGUAGGUAGGUAGGUAGGCAGGUACAACACUUUUGUUUGUCUUUCGUGUUUUGGAAAAUGCAUGCGAAAUCCCCUUUGGAGGGGUUUUUCCACGUUAAAUUUGUGUGUUCAUCUUCUCAAUUUCUUCUACUAGUUUUUACUUGUUCGUUGCUUAAUCGGGACAAUCCUAACAAAUGGUAUCAGAGCUAGUUCAAUUUUUAUAGAUCAGCCCGUUCAGAGAUGGCAACAACAAAGUUUGAAAUUGAGAAGUACGAUGGUGAGACAAAUUUCAAUCUAUGGCAAGUUCGGAUGAUGGCAAUUCUAGUUCAAAACGGCUUGAAAAGGUUGUUAUAGGGAAAAAGCCUGAGAAUCUAAAUCAAACAAAAUGGGAAGAGCUUGAUGAAAAGGCAUUGUCUGCAAUCCAUUUGUGCCUCGCGAAUACUGUAUUGUAGGAGGUAUUGAUGGAGAAGACCUCAUCUGUCUUAUGGAAAAGGUUAGAAACUCUUUAUGCGACUAAGUUUUUGGCUAACCGUUUAGUGUUGAAACAACGUCUAUUUACGUUUCGCAUGAAUGAAAGUAAGCUUCUUAGAGAUCACAUCAAUUAAUUCAUUACUCUUUUAAAUGAUUUAAGGAACGUUGAUAUUCAUAUUGACGAUGAAGAUCAAGCUAUGCUAUUAUUGUGCUCUUUACUACCUUCAUACAAGUCUUUCAGGGAGACCCUGAUUUAUGGUAGAGACAAACUCUCGUUCAAAGAUGUGAAGGGUCAUUUGUUGAGUAGAGACAAACUCGACAAUGAGUUUGGUUUGAAUAGCAAAGCAAAUAGGAAAGCUUCCGUUUUGGUAGUAUCAAAGAAACGAGACAAAAGGUGUCGCUAUUGUAAAAAGUUAGGUCAUGUCAAAGCAGAUUGUUAUAAACUGCGAAAUAAAAUAGUUGCUGAGAGUAACGAGGAAUAUGUAGCUGGUGCUAAUUUGGUCGAUGAAGGCGGUGAUGAUUUCUUGUUAGUGUCAACGAGAGAUAACUCUAAGCUUACGUCUGAGUGAAUCCUAGAUUCAGGAUGUUCUUUCCACAUGUGUCCCAAUAGAGAAUGGUUCUCCACAUACAGUUCAGUUGAAGGUGCAGUUGUGCACAUGGGAAACUAUUCAUCUAGUAAGAUAAUUGGUAUUGGUACUGUUAAAAUUAGGAUAGACGAUGGGACGAUUAGGACACUCUCAGAUGUCAGUUAUGUACGUAAUUUACGAAAAAAUCUCAUCUCCUCGAGUAUUUUAGACUUGAAAGGAUGUAGAAUCAACAUCGAGUCGAGUGACAUUAAAGUAUCUCGUGGAGCUCUCGUUUUGUUAAAAGGUAAAAGAACUGACAGUCUUUAUAUUUUGGAAGGUUCUACAGUGAUCGGUGAAAUCGGACAUCCCUCGUCCGUUACGGAGUCAAAGUUAACUCGUUUGGAGCGAAGGCAACCUGGUCAUAGGAGGGAAAAAGGUAUGACCGUUUCGUUGAAUAGAGGUUCUCUUUUGGAUGUAGGUUUUGAAAAGUUAGGGCACUAUGUUUGUGAAAAUCAGACUUGGGUUAGUUUUGAUUUGGCAGUGCACAAGUCGGAGGCUAGAAGUCUUCCAGCUUCUAAGUAUAGAUUUGACUCAGUUAAUUUCCUGCAUAGUUCAAGAUAGACCCGUGGCGGGUUUUGGCAAAGAUGGCGUUGAAAGAAUUCGUGUCAAGGUGGAGAUUGUUAAAGUUGUGUGACCCAAAUUCUAAGAGAUUGCUUGCAAGUCAAGUUAAACAAAAAUAAUUUUUUCUUUCUAGAAGAUUUAGUAUUUAUUUGUAUAAUAUAUUUAGCAUUUAUUAGCAUAGUUUAUUUUACUUACUAAUUUAGCCUAUAAAUAGGCUCUUUUACAAUCUUAGAAAAACACACCCAUUAGAUUAGAACUCAUAACAUAUUUAGAGAAUUUUGUGUUUAAGUUUUGAGAGUUCUUUAUUUUUCGAGUUUUCGGGGUUUAGUUUUUAUCUCCAUCUUUUAUACUCUUCGUUCUUUUGCCAUUAUAGUAAAAUUAUAUUUGCCCGUGGUUUUUUAUCCCCUUUGGAGGGGUUUUUCAACGUUAAAUUUGUGUGUUCAUCUUCUCAAUUUCUUCUACUAGUUUUUACUUGUUCGUUGCUUAAUCGGGACGAUCCUAACAGUUUAUUACGUACCAGCUUUGAAAAGCAACAUCAUCAGCCUUGGACAGCUUCUAGAAAAAUGAUAUAAAGUACAUAUGAAGGAUUGUAUGCUCGCCCUAAAAAAUAAGAGUGGUGAAUUAAUUAUCCAAGUUGAUAUUACGCCUAACCGUUUGCUUACUAUUGACAUUGAAUCUGGAGAGGUGAAAUGUAUGAAGAACGUAAUUAAAAAUGAUUCAUGGUUAUGGCAUUUAAGGUUCGGGCAUCUUGGAUUUUCUGGUCUGAAGCUAUUGUUAAAAGAAAAUAUGGUGAAUGGGCUGCCAUAAAUUAAUCUUUCUGAUCAACUGUGUGAAGCCUGCAUUAAAGGAAAACAACAUAGACAGAGUUUUGAAGUUGGAAAAACUCGACGAGCCAAGAGACCAUUGGAGAUCGUGCACUCUGACAUAGCAGGUCCUUUUAAUAUACCAUCACUUGGUGGAAACAAGUACUAUGUUACUUUUAUUAAUGAUUUUAGCAGAAAAAGUUGGAUAUAUCUUCUUAAAACAAAAUCAAAAGCAUUUGACAAGUUUAUCAAGUUCAAAGCCCUGGUAGAAAAACAGAGUGGACAUUUCAUUAAGAUACUUAGAAUUGAUAGAGACGGUUAGUAUACUUCAAAGCUAAUUGAAAGCUUCUGCAAGGAGCACGAAAUUAUUCACCAGUUGACAACUGCAUACACGCCACAACAAAAUGGAGUCAUUGAAAGAAAGAACCGCACUAUUCUUGAUAUGGCAAAAAGCAUGGUUAAAUGUAAGCAUUUACUAAGAGCUUUCUAGGCUGAAGCUGUUCAAUGUGCUGUUUAUUUGUUGAACCAGCAUCCAACAAAAAGUGUGAAAUACAAGAUGCCAAACGAAGCUUGGAACAAUUAGAAGCUAGGAGUCGAACAUUUCAAGAUUUUUGGAUGCAUCGUAUAUGCUUAUGUUACUGACCAGAUGAGAAAGAAGCUUGACGAUAAAUGAGUAAAAUGUAUUUUCAUUGGUUAUGAAAAGAGAAGCAAGACAUACAGGUUAUACAACACUCUCACCAAGAAAGUUAUUAUUUCAAGAGAUGUUGAAUUCGAUGAAGCUGAUUACUGGAGAUGGAACGAAAAAGAGAGGAAAAUUGAUGGAUUAUUUUUCAGUGAUCACAAAGACGACGACUUUAUUAAUCAAGAACAAGGCGACGAUGAAAGCCCUCCUGUAACACCCCUUACCCGAGACCAUCGUCGGAAUCGAGUACGAGAUGUUAUCCAAUUUAACCUACCAAUUUAGAGCAUAAAAAUUUGCUUUUAAAAUUAAAUUCACUGUUCACAACAAAACUGUCCACCUGCGCGACUGUCACUAAUUUACUUAUAACUCAAGUUACAAAACUCAAAAUUUAAAUCUGUAAAUUUUCCCUGAAACUAGACUCAUAUUCCUAAUUACCAUAUAAUUUUCAGAAUUUUUGACUUAGCCAAUUAGUACAUUUUAUUCAUUAAAGUAUCCCCUAUUUCACAGCUCGACAGAUCUGACCUCUUGCCACUAAAAAUCAAUUAUCUCAUUGUACAGAAUUCAUAUAAGGUUACCGUUUAUUUAUUUUGAAAAUAUACUCACUAAGGAAUCUAGAAAUAUAAAUUAUGACCCAUAAUUAUUCCUGUACAAUUUAUAAUGAUUUUCCAAAGUCAGAACAGGGGACUUCAAAAACCAUUCUGACCCUGUCUCACUAAAAUUCAAAUAUCUCAAAAUACAGAAUUCCUUUGCCUACACUGUUUCUUUCAUAUAAAAAUAGACUUGAUAAGCUUUAAUUCCAUAUAUAAUUAACUCUCUAAUUCCAUUUAUACUAUUUAUGGUGAUUUUUCACAUUCACGUCACUGCUGCUGUCAAAGAAACUGCUUCUUUGAAUUAGUUAACAUUUAACAUACAUAACACCCAAAACAUAAUUUUUACUAACCAUUUCAAUAGCUAAUCUUAGCCAUAUCAUAUGAACAUACUCAAAAUGAUUAACACUCUAUACAUGCCAUAGUUUUAAACAUUCUGAAAAGCACAUAAUACCGAGAUGAUUAUAAUAGUGUGAUACGAGCUCCGACGAUCCCCAAUUCGACCAAGUUCAAAUCACUAUAAAACAAAGGAAAAGAAGAAAGGUGUAAACUACUAAUAGCUUAGUAAGUUACAUGUAAAUAAUAAUUACUCAUUUAAUAAUUAACACUUUUAACAUAUAACUAAUCAAAACAUUUCUUAGCAAUUUCUAUCACUUAUACAUACACAAUCUUACCAAUUCACUUGCAUAUACAUUUUCACACUUAAUCUUUAUCACUAUGCUCAUUCUUUUCAAAUGUACCUGCAUACACACUUCAUUUCAUAUUCACUUUAACUCAUUAUUAAUCCCGUUGAACACUCGGAAUAUACACAGAUACGUAGAGAUUUAGCACAUAAGUGCAACACUGAUAUGUAGCCGAAGCUACCACUAUUAUAUAGCCAAAGCUACCACUGAAAUGUAGCCGAAGCUACCACUGUUAUGUAGCCGAAGCUACCACUGAAACGUAGCCGAAGCUACCACUGAUCAAUAACACUGGAAAUGUCCACAGGCCUGCUCACACAAGCUGUCAGGUGUCUGCAACACAUGCUAGAUCACCCAGCACCCGGGACUCACUGUAACACUGUAACACUGAUCUCUAGUGACAUGUCACUUGUAUCCACUUCUAUUCCUAAGUUCAACCGGGAAUUUACACUUAACACUUUAUUUUUAACACUUUAUUUUCAACACUUUAACACUUGAAUAAUUCAUGAAUAAUUUUCCUUCCACAUUGAAUAUUAAUUCACAUAUCAAAUAUAAUUCACAAUUUAUAAAAAUAUAACUAUUAUUUACACAUAACUUACCUCGGAUGCAAAACGACUAUUUUUGUAAUUUAGUCGAUAACUUUCUCUUUUCCCCGAUCACUUCCACUAUUUCUUCUUUCUUGAUCUAUAUUAACACAAUUUAAUACAUUUUAUCAACAUUUCAUUCAAAUAAAAUUCAUACACAACAUUUUGACAAAUUUACAUUUUUCCCCAAAACUUUUCAAAAAUUCCACUUUUGUCCCUAAGCUCGUAAAAAUAAAAUUCACUAAAUUUUUAAAUUUCAAACUUCACUAAAUCAUAUUUCAUGCUUAUAACAGCCCUCAAUUUCACCAAAUCACAACUUUAUGCACACUUUACCAUCUUUCACAAUUUAGCCCUUUUUCAAUAUUUUCAUCAAAAUUCAUCUAGUAAAACUUGUAAUUAACACUUCAAACAUUCAUUAUCUAACAUCACUAAUCAAUUUACAAUUAUAUCAUGAAUGGGUCAAUUUUUAAACUUUAAUUUCAUUUAAAUUAAAUAGUAGAAACAUGAAAUUCAAGCAUCAAUAAGCAUAAAAAUAUGAAAAUAGUUAAAAAUGGGGCAAGAAAUCACUUACAAUUGAGCUUAGAAAAAUCAAGAACCUUAGCUAUGGUAACAUGAAACUUUCGGCAGCAAGCUUCUGAUUUUGAAGAAGAUGGACACUUAUUUUCUCUUUAUUUUGUCUUUUUCUCAAUUUGGACAAAAAUGCCCUUGACCCAUUACUUAGAUAUUUUUCUAGAAUUACCCUUUUGUGUCCAUAACACUAAUUUAUGGUCUAAUUGUCACAUAAACACUUCCAAUUUCAUGCAAUAAUUCAAUUAAGUCAUUUAAUCACUAAUUAGACACACUUUGCAUUUUUUUCAAUUUAGUCCUAAAAAUUCAAUUAAGCACUAAAUCAUUAAAAUUUCCAAUCCAUAUUUUCACACAAUAUUUCAAUCAAUCAGUAACUUAUAAAAAUUUAUAAAAUAAAACUAUUUCACUUCGGAUUUGUGGUUACGAAACCACUAUUCCGAUUAGGCCCUAUUUCGGGCUAUCACACCUCCUUCAAGUCCUGUUGCAACAACUCUUACAGCAUCAUCAUCACCAACCAACAACAGUACCAGCAACUCAGAGGAAGCACCUGCAAUAAUGCGUAGUUUACGCGAUAUUUAUAAUGUUACAGAACCAUAGAAAUAACACUCGAUUAUUCAUUAUUCUAUAUAAUGACAGAAUGUGAUUCAAUAACAUAUAAAGAUGCAAUUGAAGAUGUUAGAUGGAAAAAGGCAAUGGAUGAAGAAAUUACAACAAUAAUAAGAAAUGACAUAUGAGAGCUAACAAGUCUACUAGAAGGACAUACUCCAAUUGGAAUCAAAUGGGUGUACAAGACGAAGACCAACAAAGAAGGAAAAAUAGAGAAAUCCAAAGCAAGACUAGUUGCAAAAGGCUACAAGCAAAGAUACGGUGUGGACUAUGAUGAAAUAUUUACUUCGGUCGCCAGAAUUGAUACUAUAAGACUUCUCAUGGCAAUUGCAGCACAAAAUAAAUGGAAAAUUUAUUAGAUGAACGUGAAGUCAGCAUUCCUUAAUGACUACCUGGAAGAAGAAGUCUAAAUUGAACAACCACCUGGAUAUAGGAAACAAGGACAAGAAGACAAAGUUUAUCACUUGAAGAAAGCUUUAAAUAGACUGAAGCAAGCCCUGAGAGCAUAGAACACAAGAAUAGAUGAAUACUUUUAGAAGAACGGGUUCAUGAAAAUCCCAUACGAGCAUGCUCUAUAUACAAAGAAAAAUAAAGUUGGUGACAUCAUGAUCGUGUGCUUAUAUGUGGAUGAUAUGAUUUUCAUGGGAAACAAUCCAGGUAUGUUCAAUGAAUUUAAGAAAGCUAUGACUAAAGAUUUUGAAGUGACAAAUAUUGGUGAAAUGUCAUACUUUCUUUGAGUCGAAGUGAACCAAAUGAAAGAUGGAAAAUUUGUGUCUCAAAAAAAAUAUGCAGAACAGAUUUUAAGAAAAUUCAGAAUGAAAGAUUGCAAGCAAGUAGCCACGCCCGUAGAACCAGGCAUGAAAUUAAGUGUUGGUUCAUCCGGAGAGUCGGUAAAUCCAAUGUUGAAUAAAAGUAUUGUUGGAAGUUUAAGGUACUUGACUAUCACAUGGCCAUACAUCAUGUACGUAGUGGGAACAGUUAGCAAAUACAUGGAGAAGCCAAAACAAGAUCACCUGAUUGCAGCAAAGAGAAUUUUGAGAUACAUCACAGGUACGAUGGAUCAUGGUUUAUUUUAUACACACUCACAGAGUUCAAAAUUGGUUGGUUAUUUAGAUAGUGAUUAUGGUAGUGGCUUUGAUGAUCGCAAAAACACAUCCAGAUAUUUAUUCCAUAUUGGCUUCGCGGCAUUUUCUUGGUCAUCGAAAAGUAACAAACAGUAGCUAUCUCAACAUGUGAGGCAAAAUUCAUGGAUGUUGCAACAUGCACGUCUCAAGCAAUUUGGUUGAAGAAUAUUUUAGGUGAAUUAACUAUUAUACAAGAAGGUCCAAUUAUAAUUUAUGUUGACAAGUCCACAAUAUCUCUUGUAAAGAAUUCAGUGUCUCAUAGUCGAAGCAAGCAUAUGGAUACAAUGUAUCAUUUUAUUCGAGAGCAAGUGAAAAAUAAAAAUGUAGAGUUAGUUUACUCCAAAUUAGAAGAUUAAUUGGCGAAUAUUUUUACGAAACCAUUGAAAACGGACAUAUUCUAUAAACUCAAAGAAAAGCUUGGAAUGAAAAGUUCAAGGGGAAGUGUUAAAAAACAAACCAACUUUCAAAGUCGGCAUAAAAAUUGCAGCCAAAGAAUUUCUAUCCAAAUUGGCUUGAAAUUGAAUUGCAAAAGUAGCUGCAACUUUGUAAAUUGGCCUGCACAAAUGAUAAAGGAUAAUGAUGACAGCAGCUUGAAUAGUCUUAGACGGCAAGGCUUGAUAAAGUUUAAGUCGGUUUACUAUGCUUAUAAAUAUGUAAGUAGAGUCUUAUGAAAUUAAAAUUAAAUGAGUGUGUGUGAAAACGUUAGUGAGCUUGAGAGGAAAAAAAGAAAGAAAGGUGUUGUGAGUUGUAUAAAAAGGAAAAACUAGCAGCAGCUAGUAGAGAGAGAAAAAAGAGUUUAUAUUUGUAUUGUGUUUAUUUGUGUGUAAUAAAAAAUUAGUACUUGAGUUAUUUUUAUUACCCUUCCAACAUAUUAUAUGUUCCAGUGUUGAUGGCAUUGGCAACUGAUGUUGUGUCCAAGAAGCUUGACGUCGUGCUCAUGACGUUGGCUGCUGUUUGCAGGCUCUAAUAUAAUGUUUCAAUGGAAAUGCCCCUAGUCCUGUAAUCAACAGAUGGUGCUAUACCACUUAGAGUACUAUGGGGUCCAAUUUGAGUAAACUCGAUUAAGUAAUUCUAGUUUCAGAUUGAAGUCGGGUUAAAUUUUACAAUUCGAAUAACUCAAAUAAUAGAUUGGUGUAAAUACACGUUUGGCCCCGGUCAAUUUUAAAAAUGAGCAGAUUGAUCUUUCUCUCAACAAAAAUUACAAAAAAAUUCUAAAUAUUUAUAAAAAUAAAAAAAAUCUAAAGAAUAUAUAAAAAAUUAAAAAAGAUUCUUAAAUAAUCAUUUUUGAGACCUAAAUAAGUAAAUUAAUUAUUCAAAAUUUUCAUACUAAAAUAUCUUUAUUUUCUCUUAUUUUUCUUUGAAUAAAUUUUCAAGAAUAUAUAAUUUUAAAUUUAUGUAAUCUAACAUAGAAUUGAUUAUAUUGUAAAAAAAAAUUUAAUGUUUUAGUCGAUUGGAACGGAUGCACAUCUCUACUGAUCAAAAUUGAUCCGCAUAUAUUUUUUUUCUCUAACUGAAAAGGAUCUCUUCCAAAUUAAUGAUCUUGGAUUGAAACAUGUCAAAUUUACCACAAAUCGUUUAUGAUAGAAUCGGACCCGUGUGACCUUGAAAUCACUCUCCUAAUACAUGUUAUUGAUGAAGAUUGUCGGACACCUUGAAUUUCUCCGCACCAUUUAAUGUUCGGCCCACUUGGCUAUAACAAUCCGAAACCUCCCUUAACCUAACUUAUAAGAUUAAAAAAACUCUAAAUAAGAGAAUAAAAACUUUUAUUUAUUUAUUUAUUUAUACACUAGAAUUUCACACUAUAUAAGAAGAUGCAUAAGAAAACAGCGGUAGGUAGAUAUAAGUCAACAGGCUGUCAAAUUUAUUCUAGUAGUAGUGCAAAACAUAAGCACAUUACUGACAGCCUGAGCACCAGCAUUUUGAUCAGAAAUUUAAGCAAAGCCACCCAAGAAAAGUGUGUUUGUAUUCUCAUCACUGCAAUAAAGGCAAGGGUUCUGCUCGAAUCCAUUGUUCUUCAAAAUCUUGGCAGCCUCAGCCACAAAGGCUUUAUUCUCCAAGACCAGGUCAUAUGAUGUCUCAUUGGCG